GGAUUGUAUUAAAAGCACUUAAAAACUAGCAGAACAGGACCUGUAUUAUGAAGGCCCCUUGCCCAAGAAUGUCUGGUAGUCUUCCCCUUGUGAUUCUUACUUCGAAACCCUACCCUCACCUGGCUUCGUUUGGAGGCAGUACACCCGCACAGGGCGUGUGUGUCCUCCCUCUGGGACUGUCGGGUUUCUCGAAGGCGCUGCCGUGCCCACACUGCCUGCCUCGCCCUCCACCUUCUCCUCAAAUCCAAGUCUUAGCUUCCCUUACCCCAGCCUCGAAUUCACCCCAUCCCAUGUUCAGCAUUUACACUUGUGUUUACCAGCUCCACGUGUUUGUUCUUAUUUAUCUUGUUCUUUCACCUGCAGGCCUAUGGAGUCCCUAACUAAGCCAGAAGCGUCGUGGAACGCUGCUGAUUGGGUCUGGGUGUCCCCGACUCCCACCUCACAUUGCCCGAGACGACGACAUCUUUGACACGCCUAGAGCUCCACUUUGGACCUUCCAAGCUCAAUUUGGUUCAGAUGGCGCUGUGCACCACACUCUGCUGGGCCAUCUACCAGUAACAUCCAGGGACUCGACAACCUCAGGGAGGUUGUUCCUCCAAAACCUGGAGUUAGGGCGAGGCUCCACUCUGAUCCACUCUCCUCUCCUCUGCAAUCUUAUAGACAUUAUGCAUCCACCACAGGCGUCAAUGGAUCCUAAAACGUAUAAAAACUGCUUCCUGCUAAUACAUUCAUUCAGGAACCUUCCAGUGAGUGUCCCCUGUGUGACAGGUGAAAUUUCUCCCGACCAAAUUCCCUGACACCCAGUGAUUAUACCUCUGAAGCGGCCAAGCCCACAGCACACAGGAAGCAACAGUGACGUGCCCUGGAGAAGACACAGGUGCUACUGAACGGAGACGAGCCCAGUGCCCUUGUUCUCCUUCAGGACGCGGAGGGAGAAGAGGGCCCCUAAUGCCAUCUGGACCAUCGUGGAGAAUCACUCUCAUGUGCCUUCCAUCCAGGCAGUGCCUCCAGGGCCAGGCCUUCACGACCCCGAACCACCUGUAUCCACCCUAUUCAGGCUACGAGCUCUGUGUGCACACGGUGUGCAGUAGGCACUCAGGAAAUGUCCACUGAAUGAAUGAGUCCGACCAACUCUGGAGGCAGUAGCAGAAGCACCGGCACAGCAGAGUCUGGUGGAGGACAGUAAUGGUUCAAAGUGGAGACGUUAGAAAAAUGUCUCUGCAGAUCAGCAGAAGUCAGGCGAAACCACAGGAGUCAUUUUCAGGACAGAUUUCUCCGUAUGGAAUCAGCCUGCCGCCACCAAUGCAAUCAGUGGACUUUGGACAAAAUCAAAGCCAUGAGCUAGACCAAGAUAGCUCUCUGGUUAAGAUCACGGCAAAGGCCCUCACCCAGUAGACAUCUGUAUGAAUUGCUGUCUGGGGAAGAAUGAAACACUCCAUUCUUGACUUUUCUGUUUUGUCUUGGUGUUUCCACCUGUUUAAGAGUAAUAAUGUAAAGGCAGCAAGGACAGGCACAUUACAUUUUGGAUACUUUUCCCCCUAGCUCAUUCAGCUGCCUGAGUCUAAAGAUAAAGACGGUAUGCUGAGAACUAGAAAAAUGGAACAGGGGAAGCCAAGGCAUGUCCUUACCUGGAAUGAGAAGCAGAGACUAACUGCAGGGAGAUGCCAAGGUGCUAAUAAAACCUGGACUCAUUAUAAUACCCGGAAUUGUUCAUCCGUCUUUCUGAAGCACCGAGCACUAUGAAGACAUACAUACUGCCUGGAAACAGAUACGGUUAGAAAAUGAUUAGAAACGCAGACUAUUUUGCUCAGUUAGUUUUUGUUUUGUCACAGUAACGCACGCGCACAGUUAAAACACCCUACUAGUCCUAGCAGGCUAGUUAGGAAAAACAGUUUCAGUUUCCUGCCUGCCGUUUUCUCUCUUUUCAGCCACAGCUGUGUACAAUCCUGUCCGUCAAUUCUUUUGGUAUUUACCUCUACACUUCUGCAAAACAUUCUUAUACUACCAUUUCCUGCAAGUUUUUCUCCGUGUUACGCAUCAUCCAAGGACUUCCCACUGUGGCAAGUAAGAAUUUAGCUCGCUUUCAAUGCUCUUCCCACCUCCUUGGCCCCAUCCUGCCUCGACUUCGCAUCCCUGCAUCCUCCCAAUUAAGUUAUAUUUGUAGUUAUAAUUGUGGUUAGAUCCAUAUCUACAUUAUUACCGCUGUGUAAAUGCUAUUACAGCAUGCUCUGUGAUACUUAGAGGAGGACUUCUCACCUAGUAUGGAGGGAUCAUUCAGGUGUAUCUUCAUUCGACAAGUGUUUAUUGAUCCUUACACCCUGCCAAGCACUGUGCUCAAUGCUGGUUACACAGGGGUAACCAAGGAGCUAUGGGCCUUCCGUUGUGGUGUAGAACAGUCAGCCCAGGCUCUGGAACCAGACUGCUGGGGUCAAAUAUUUUCCACCUUCGGCGUGCCUGGGUGGCUCAGUUGGGUAAGUGUCCGACUUCCACUGGGAUCACGAUCUCUUCGUUGGUGGGUUUGGGUCCCACAUCGGGCCUGCACUGGGCUCUGCGCUGGUGGGAUUCUCUCUCUCUCUCUCUCUCUCUCUCUGCCCUACCUCCACUCCCGCUCUCUCAUGCGAUCUCUCUCAAAAAUAAAUAAAUAAACUUAAAAAAAAAUCUUUUCCACUUUCUAGUCAUGUAAUCUUGGGUAACUUACUUAACCAUUUUAUACCUCAGUUACCUAAGUAUUGUUGACACAAUUACAUGAAUGAAAAUGUGUGAAGUACUAUCAAGUAUGAGUAAUAGUACCUGGUAGAGAGUAGGCAACACAGAAAUGUUACAUAUUAUUGUUUUAGGAGUCAAAUGGAAAGGAAAAAUUUACAUAUAUUCCACGAACUUACAUAUAUAAUUAUAUAUGGUUGUAUAUGUAUAUACAUACGUGUUUAUGUAUACGUGAAUAUGAUGUCUAUAUUUAUAAUAAAUUACUAAGAAUGAAAAGUACAGACUGCUAAACCAGACGGAUCCUUGUUUGUCUGUUUAUUUGUUAACACUUUAAGUAUAUUCAGUUUAUUGUGUGUCAGUUACACCUCAGCAAAGCUCUUUUUAUUACUUUUUUAAGUUUGUUUAUUUAUUUUGAGGGACCAAGAGAGAAAGCAUGAGGAAGAGAGGGGCAGAGAGAGAGGAGAGAGCGAGAAUCCCAAGUGGGCUCCGUGAUCUGAGUGUGGGCCUUGGACUCAUGAACCCUGAGAUCGUGGCUGGAGCUGGAGUGGGACGCUUUAACCGACUGAGCCACCCAGGUGCCCCAACGGAGCUCUUUGUAAAAAUUUCAAAUGCCCUAACCAACAUAUAGUUACUAUAAUACCACACCCUCUAUGCAGUAGUUCUCAACCAAGGGAGUUUUUUGACCCCCAGAAGACAUGUGGAAAGGUAUGGAGACAUUUUUCUUUUGUCAGAACUGGAGAUAGGGUGCUACUGACUUCAAAAGGGUACAGGACAGGGAUGUUGCCUCACAUCUUACAAUCCCCAGGGCAGCCCCUCAUAACAAUGAAUUAUCUAGCCCAAAGCGUCAGUAGUGCCAAGGUUGAGAAACUGUACCAAUGGGGCUGAGUUUUUAGGUCUAUGAACUUUCUGGGAGCACUCUCCUUAGCUUUUACCAAAUUCUCAAAGGUGGUAUAAUGCAGAAUUUUAAGGAACACUGGCUUAAAUGGAUGUUUCAUCUAGGCCUUGGUAACAAGUGGCAUAUUAAUACUAUUUCACAGCAAAAAUCACCUCUCUAGUUAAGACGACUUAUCUUAGCUAGCCAAAUUUCGCUGUCCCUUUCCACUGCCCACUCUGAUUCAUGGCCAAACACAACUCUUUGGAUUUCCUGUCUCU